rnacentral:tRNA from 1 species
GAGUUGAAGCUCAAUGGUACAGCACUUGCCUAGCAUGUGUGAGGCACUGGGUUCAAUCCCCAGCACCACA